rnacentral:rRNA from 1 species
AUUGAACGCUGGCGGCAGGCCUAACACAUGCAAGUCGAACGGUAACAGGAAGCAGCUUGCUGCUUCGCUGACGAGUGGCGGACGGGUGAGUAAUGUCUGGGAAGCUGCCUGAUGGAGGGGGAUAACUACUGGAAACGGUAGCUAAUACCGCAUAAUGUCGCAAGACCAAAGAGGGGGACCUUCGGGCCUCUUGCCAUCGGAUGUGCCCAGAUGGGAUUAGCUUGUUGGUGGGGUAACGGCUCACCAAGGCGACGAUCCCUAGCUGGUCUGAGAGGAUGACCAGCCACACUGGAACUGAGACACGGUCCAGACUCCUACGGGAGGCAGCAGUGGGGAAUAUUACACAAUGGGCGCAAGCCUGAUGCAGCCAUGCCGCGUGUAUGAAGAAGGCCUUCGGGUUGUAAAGUACUUUCAGCGGGGAGGAAGGGAGUAAAGUUAAUACCUUUGCUCAUUGACGUUACCCGCAGAAGAAGCACCGGCUAACUCCGUG